rnacentral:rRNA from 1 species
UGAGGAAUAUUAGAAAUGGACGAAAGUCUGAUCUAGCAACACCGCGUGUGCGAAGAAGGCCUUCGGGUCGUAAAGCACUUUUUGGAAGGAAUAGGAAGGAAUGUACUUCCAGAAUAAGUCUCGGCUAACUACGUGCCAGCAGCCGCGGUAACACGUAGGAGGCAAACGUUAUCCGGAUUUACUGGGCGUAAAGCGCGUGUAGGUGGUACUGUAAGUAGGGCGUGAAAGCUCCUGGCUCAACUGGGAGAGGCCGUUCUAAACUACAGAACUAGAGGAUGGUAGAGGGAGGUGGAAUUCCAGGUGUAACGGUGGAAUGCGCAGAUAUCUGGAGGAACACCGGUGGCGAAGGCGGCCUCCUGGACCAUUCCUGACACUCAGACGCGAAAGCUAGGGUAGCAAACGG